CCUCGGUGGACAUAUCUCCGGCGAUGGUGGAAGGUGAUGUCCGGGUGGAGGUGGAGUGCCUCUGGCAUAGGACCCGGCCAGUGGUAGCGUAGCCGUAGCAAGUCAGAGGCCGAGUAGCGAAGCAGACCCGCAGACCCGCCACUGGUGUCUGGACUACGUGCUGGAUGAGAUUGCACUUCGCAGAAACGCCCACGUAAUUGUUGCUUCCCAUAAUGAAGACACAGUGAAAUACACCAUCAGGAGAAUGAAUGAGCUGGGUCUCUCCCCCAUGGAAAACAAAGUGUACUUUGGUCAGCUGCUGGGCAUGUGUGAUCAGAUCAACUUCCCCUUGGGUGAGAGCCAUCCAUCGUGACACACAAACACGCAGUUUCACUGUCAGCCGUUAGUGUUGAUGUCAUUGUUAUUCUGCUGCAGUCUGGUCUUGAUAAACUGAAAGGCUUUUACUUUUCUGUAUGGAACAUCCUCUCGGUGAACACUGUGUCUGGCUCUGUCAGGCAGAGAUCUCAGCCAAGAUGGAGGGAGUGACAGGAAGCGAGUAGCGGUUUGUGUCGUCUCAGCUCCUGGCCUUUAUUUAAUUCUUGUAUUUUUCAGCCCUCUUGGAAAACGAUGCCCGUGUGUCCUUCAAAUACGUGACUUAAAACAAAUCCUGUCAUUGUUGCAGCCUGGAAAUGUCAUUGGAUGUAUGCAAAAUGCCCCCUCCCCUGGGGGAGGGGAAUAUUGGACAUCCCUAGUUUCUACCAAAACUAUAUUAAUCAGUUUACAGCAUUGUUUCCCAAAGAUUGGGUCGUGACCCUCAGGUGGGUCUCAAGAGAUUUUUUUUUGGGUCAUCUCACAUCAUGUUUCCCAGGAUUUUACCAAUAAUGUCUAUUGACUUGGGUCGCAAAGGUUUGUGACUUUAAAAAUAUGGGUCCCCAGAAAAAAAGUUUGGGAAACACUGGUUUACAGCACCUACAAAGUCAGCCUGUCAGGCCGACUGACACAGGUUGGUCUGAUGAAAGCCAGACUUCUGACCUAAAUAUUCGACCCCACAGACCCUGCAGGGGGUUGACAUGGUAUUUAAGCCUUGAGGCGCACUGGUGAAGCAAAAGCUUUUGUGUAUCAACUGUAUAAAACUAAAGAUCAGCGUGUCGACUAAGGACGCCUGACUCUACCCAGCCGUUCAAAAGUGUUAAAAUGUUAAAUUUGAUCAAUUUCACAAGUUAACAUGUUCAUUUUGACAGCCCUGGUUCAGGAGCUGAAGCCUGGCUGAUGAAAGGAGAUGCCAUGAUGUCCUGUUAUGUUGUGAUCUAAGGCAUUUUUUUUUCUAAAAGGAACUAAAAAAAGACGCCUUUCUCAGUACACGAGGUUUGUUGUCAAAAAACUGUCAGUAUCAAAUAUUAACAACAGGAACAGCCUUUGGAGUUUCUGUUUUGAUUUGUUUUCAUGUGUGUGUUUCUUCCUCACUCCUGCCGUCUUACAAAUGACUUUUUUUCUCACAUCCAUCUGUCUGCAGGCCAGGCGGGCUUCCCCGUCUACAAGUAUGUUCCAUAUGGGCCAGUGGGUGAGGUGAUGCCUUACCUGUCUCGCAGAGCCCAGGAGAACAGAGGCAUCAUGAAAGGUGUCCAAAAGGAGAGGAAGCUGCUGUGGAGGGAGCUAAAACGCAGGCUGGCCUCCGGGGAGCUUCUCUACAGACCGGUUUACUGAAAAGGCAGAAGAAAGACAGGAAGGAAUGAGUGUUGUCAAACAGAGUUUUUUUUUUUUUGUUCUUCUUUGGUUGACGGCUUCAGCUCUGUCAUUUACCUGCUGUCCUGAAGUUUUUCCACUGACAGACUCUUUCUGCGCGCCACUCUCCUGUUCUCUGCCGGCCUUAUCUUUACCUCAGCUGAUGUCCGUACGCCGUGCUUUUUUUACCUCUGCAUCCUUACUUAUUCCUGCCUUUAUCUUCCCGUUGUCCAAAGACCUGUGGUAUCCAUCAACUGGGCAUCUUUACUGCUCCAAAAGGACUCUCUAAAAUGUCAACAAGCCUGCUUUUAUCACCCUGUUCUUCCACAGGUGCAAUCAUAAUAAACAUAACAGGCUUGAUUUAAAUGGCAGUAAAAGAAACACCAAUAAUUCCCACCUGUAUUGUCUUUUCACUCCGGAGCAGCUCGUGCCCUGAGGUGGAUGUACGUCAGUGUUUUUGUUUGUUUUUUAAAUAUGUCUGUUGAUGAAUCGAUGAGAAGAUAUGGCUGAUCUUUAGACCAAAUUCUUCUCCCGCUAACAGCCUACUCUGUGUUACAUUAGUUGAGUGGAGUGAUAUUCCUGGGAGUAUAUUCCUAAGGUAUAAUUAAUUGUCCUGGAAAUACUAUUACUACUGUACUAAGGGAUAAUGUAUGUGAGCUGUGUUUUGAUUUUAUUGCAUUUGGGUGUUAAAUGAUGUCAUUUUGUUAAUUACUACUGUAUUUUAGUAUAGUAAAGGUGGGACAGUAUUAAAAGAAAUACUGUAAUUCA